rnacentral:rRNA from 1 species
AUACAACGAAGAGUUUGAUCCUGGCUCAGGAUGAACGCUAGCGACAGGCCUAACACAUGCAAGUCGAGGGGCAGCGGGGAGCGAAGCUUGCUUUGCUCCGCCGGCGACCGGCGCACGGGUGAGUAACGCGUAUGCAACCUGCCCGUUUCAGCGGGAUAACCCGGAGAAAUCCGGCCUAAUACCGCAUGUGGCCGAGGGGAG